GGGGAGGAGCGUUGCCAUGUGUUCGUGUAACAUGGAGGGAGAGCUGUUCUUCAGCGUGCACUGGAAGAACAUCGAGCCAUUUGCCCAGUUACAGAAAUUGAAGCAAAGGAAGGUGAUGAUGUCAUCCUCCAGUUUCAUGUGGAUCCCCCUGUCAACCUGUCUGCGUUCACCAUGGAUUGGUCAAGAACCAACCCGAGUGUGGUCGUCUACUCCUAUCGACACCAACAGGAGUCACAUAACGCAGAGAUGAAUGCAACAGUCAGACGUGAAGACCUGAACAGAGGAAAUCUGACACUGUGGAUCCCCUCAGUACAGAUGUCCCACAGUGGAAAAUACACAGGCUUCGUUAUGGACCUCGGGAUCAAGUGUAGUGUUCAACUUAAUGUAACAAAAGACAAACUGAAAAAGCAAAAGGGGCAUGAUGACUUAAGCACAACUGGAGCUCCUCUCAACACGACGGUGGAGAAAGUCGGUCCACGGCUGUUUGAUGACGAUUUGGACUCCUCUGGGAGAUGAGGACACACCCACAUCUGUUCCAUACUGCAGCCAUUGAUGGUGUUACAGCUCUGAGUCAGCUUUGGGCCAUCAGAUGCACACACUGGAAAACCAGCACCUGGACUUCAUGCAGGAGAGACUGCCUCAGUGAUGGACUCUGCAUCCUCUAAUCUCUUUCUUCUUUAACACACAAUUAAAAUCACUCCAAAAGAGUGUAAACUUACUGAG
ensembl:lncRNA